UUGGAGGGCAAGUCUGGUGCCAGCAGCCGCGGUAAUUCCAGCUCCAAUAGCGUAUAUUAAAGUUGCUGCAGUUAAAAAGCUCGUAGUUGAAUUUCGGGACCGAUAUGUCGGUCGUGCCUCGGUACGUACUGGCAUCGUUGGUUUCUCCCUUCUGACGAACCAUGAUGUCAUUCAUUUGGUGUCGUGGGGAAUCAGGACUGUUACUUUGAAAAAAUUAGAGUGUUUAAAGCAGGCUCACGCUUGAAUACAUUAGCAUGGAAUAAUGAAAUAGGACGUUUGAUUCUAUUUUGUUGGUUUCUAGGAUCGACGUAAUGAUUAAUAGGGAUAGUUGGGGGCAUUAGUAUUCAAUUGUCAGAGGUGAAAUUCUUGGAUUUAUUGAAGACUAACUACUGCGAAAGCAUUUGCCAAGGAUGUUUUCAUUAAUCAAGAACGAAAGUUAGGGGAUCGAAGACGAUCAGAUACCGUCGUAGUCUUAACCAUAAACUAUGCCGACUAGGGAUCGGAUGAUGUUAAUUUUUUAAUGACUCAUUCGGCACCUUACGGGAAAC
rnacentral:rRNA from 1 species